UACGGGGGGGGCAAGCGUUGUUCGGAAUUACUGGGCGUAAAGGGCUCGUAGGUGGCCAACUAAGUCAGACGUGAAAUCCCUCAGCUUAACUGGGGAACUGCGUCUGAUACUGGAUGGCUUGAGUUUGGGAGAGGGAUGCGGAAUUCCAGGUGUAGCGGUGAAAUGCGUAGAUAUCAGGAGGAAUACCGGUGGCGAAAGCGACUCUCUGGACGGCAACUGACGCUGAGGCACGAAAGCGUGGGGAGCAAACAGG
rnacentral:rRNA from 1 species